AACACAUAGUCUCUGUGGGAAGGUUUGGUUCCACAGUCUGGAGUGAAGAUCACAAAUCAUUGAAGAAAAAAGGUUCAGAGCACUGUCUAGUGGGUCUAGAUGACCCCACUCCCAAUGCUAAAGUGUCAAGGAUAGCACAAGGGUUACAUACAGUUUGGUGAACAGAAUUUUUGGACAAUAAAUGGCUUCACCCAACCACUAACUAUGAGUGGAAAGUUUCAGUGCUAUCAUUCAUGUUCCCUGAAAAAUGACCAAGAAAUCAUCAUUCCUUCCAGGGAAUGAAAACUUAUGAACACAACUAUGGAAUUUCUUUUAAUUAUAAUUCAAAGUAAUGUGCUAUUCUCAAUAGAGUGUAAAUCUUAACGCAGAGGAUGGAAGAACUUUACUCCUACAGUUCCAAACAUGUCUGUUGUGGAAACCAAACAGUUUCCUGUUUCCUUCAGAUGUAGAGAGUGCAUGUUGGAGCAUGUUAAAGAAUACAGUAUUUAUACAGUACGUCCAAUAUUUAACAAUAAAUCUUAAAAGUUAAAUACAUGCGCAACCACAUUUAUAUAGCAUAACAAAAGCAUACAUACAGGUGGCUAGUCUAACUGUUUAAAUAAGUGGAUGCUAACAACUGGAGGCUAACUUUAGCUGUGUCCGACUCUUAAGGUGUUAUGGAUAAAUAAAGCAAAAUAAAAUGGCACUAUAUAUAAUACGAAUAUUAUACAAACAUGGAUUCACCGUGUCUGAAACUUUCUUUUCUUAAUGUGAAACAUUGGAGAGUCACCUUCAAUUUUUUCAAUUGGCUCUUUCCUCCCCGUAAAAAAAUUCUAAAUUGUUGGCUUUUUAGCCUUAGGCAACUAACUUGGCAGAGUAGGCGCUUUAAGUCACGAGACCAAGAGGAAUGGCGGUUAACAGAAUCUGGGAGUUUUUUCAAAACAAAACUACCUCCAGGAUCAGGAAGUAAAAAAAGGAAAAGAUCUAUCAUAUUUAUUUGCUAUUUCCGUCUGUGGCUCGGUAUCAAGUACUGGUUCUGGUACCGGUCCGUGUCCCAGGGGUUGGGUACCACUGUUAAUUUUAAAGGACACUGCAGCCCUAACAAUGUUUUCCAUAACAUCAAGCUGCAACACAGCAGUUGCAGUUGUAGUAAACACAGAAGAAAAUUCAUUAGCAGAUGGUGCAUUCUCUUCUCUAACCUCCAACGCCAAAUAAUUCCAUAGGUUAGUUGCGUCUUUAUUAUUUUUAAUUGGUGUGAUUAAGAAAAUGUAGUGAGGUGGUGCCCCGCCCUGAUAAGGACCUGACAGUUUGCAUAUCGACAGAGAACCGGGGGGGGGGGGGGGGGCUUUUUUUUGCAAUUUCACUUGAAUUGUGACACAAAAACAGCACGGCAUUUAAUAAUGCAAUAGACUUACAAGUUAAUUUAAAAUUAAUUUAAAACAAACCAUCUGUUGAAUUUUUUAAUACUGAAUUGUAUAUUGCAAAAUGCACUGUCAUUUGAAUUAUGACAUCAGAAAUCCAUGACAAUUUAAAUGCAAUUAAUUUUGUUUACAUUUAAUAUUUUAUUUUUAAAACGGUCAUAUUGAAUUGUAAAUCUUAAUAUUGAAUUCUAAAUUGCAAAAUGUAUUUUCACAUUCCAAGCCUGAAUUGCAGACUGAAUUGUCAUUUGAGAAUUGCAUAUUACUUUGAAUUAUGACUCAAAAGAAUUUCCAUGCACAACUGUAUAUUCAUGGCUGCCACCUGCAUUAAUAACCAUAUUUAGAAAGAGAGUUCUUCUUUUAGCUUCAUACUCAGGGCACACACUCUUUCACUCACAUUCAGAGAAACUGAAUAAAUAUGCAAACAUCACAACGCACAUGGUAUGUGCAGUCAGAAGACGUCUGUGUUUGACUGUUUAGUUUUUCAUUAAAGAAAAUGUGAUGGUCCUGUUUGCAAAGGUUUGCUGCUGCUGUAAAUGAAGGGAUUUACUCUGAGGGAAAAAUGUACUCAGAGUGCUUUGUAAUCUCAGAGCCUCCAAAUAGGUGCUGAUGUCCAGCAGAGGACGCUAUCUCCAACAGCCAUUUUGUUAUGGCAUUUAGUAGAAGGCGUCUUCUUGAAACAGAUUUUACAAAGUGAAAUGCCACAUUGGCUCCAGAGUGAAAUGAAGUGUUCUUGUGAACAAAAAGACUACAGCCCUUUAUCUGGUAACUCAGAUGCCACAGUAAUACAUUCCCUUAACCUUGUACUAUCCUAGGCACUUUACCAUUGGAAGUUGGGUCAUCUAGACCCACUAGACAGUGCUCUGAAUCUUUUUUCUUCAAUGAUUUGUGAUCUUCACUGGUGUCCAUGGAUUACAUGAAAUCUUUCCACCUUUAUCCACCUUUGUCAUGGUAGGGAGAACACCUCAAUGGAAGGGGGGGGUCAUCUAAGAUAGCACAAGGGUUAAAAAGCUGUUUUCGCACACCUUCUUGUACAAAGCUUGGCAGAUCUUUAAUACAUGUUGUCAUUGUCCUGUGCAGCAUUUCAAAAUGUCUUGUUUUCCUGACAGCAUGCAACAAAUGUUCAAACAGGCUAAUAAUGGUCUAAAAAAUCUGACAACAAUCUCAUCAACUCUUUAGUUUCUGUGCAAUUCAAGUCAUGAAAAACAGAACUAUGGAGUACAAAAGUGUGCUGUUACCCACAAAAAGAUCACCGUGAUAAAAAUUCCAACAGCAUUAACUCAACACUUAACUAAAAUGUGUCUACAGUCAUGAGAGUUAAGACAAAUGUUUCUGACAGGUUCCACAGAUAAGUCUCUGAAGACCUUGAAUGGCCUUAAAUGCUAAAGAUUUGCAGAACAUUGGAGACGUUCUACAAGAAUGGGCUGUGUGAAGCUGACAGCUCAGGUCAAAGAUCAUGUAGCCCUUAGUCCAGUUCCUCUGUGGGCCCCAGGCUUAGAUCUCUCCUCCCUCUUUCCCUGGACAGUUGCCUUCCCCUGUCAUGAUCCUCUCUUCCAUCCUCUUCAUCUUCCUCAUCAUCUACUCCAUCCUCUUCUUCUUCUUCUUCUUCCUCCUCCUCCUCCUCCUCAUCCUCUGUGCCGUCCAUGGAGUCGUCAGCACCAAGCAUGGCUUGCUGUAUGGCCAGAGUGGCUGAGUCUGAGGACAGCGACUGGAGGCUGUCCAUGCUGAGUGGGUCUGUGUGAGACAUUACAAAUGUUUAACUGUCAGCAUCCAUCCUCACCGACAUGCAGUUCCUGUUUAGGUGAUACAUGAAUUACUUGUGAAAAAAGUUGUUAGGGAGUUACUGAAAUAGUACGACGGAGAUUUAGGGCCACCAAAAAAAACAUGAGUAAAAUUACGAGAAAAAAACUCUUACAUUUACGAGAUUAAAGUGGAAGUGAGCAUCAGCAGAGCAGACCGACUAAACUCUGGUGAGCUGCAUGUUUAUUGACAACGUUCCAAAUGUUUGGAAGCUCAUUAGUUUGAUUUACGAUUCAUUAAUGUUUCAUUUAUUAAUGGGUAUCUUGCAGGAUCUCUGCAGUUCGUUGAUGAAGACAUCGGUGUCCCUGCAGCUGUCCACUUGAAUCCUUUCUUCCUCCACCAAAAACCAGAUCUCUACGUCUGUGUGACGCUUCCGUCUGAGGAGCAGCACUUCUUAGCAUUUUCAACGUUCUAAUGCUAAGAUAACAGACUAUUUUCAUUCCACUUGAUUGUUUUAUGUUGAAACGGGACGUAUGUUUACUUCCGCAUUGGUGUUGGGAUGACAGGUU
rnacentral:lncRNA from 1 species